rnacentral:rRNA from 1 species
GGAAUAUUGCACAAUGGGCGCAAGCCUGAUCCAGCCAUGCCGCGUUUAUGAAGAAGGCCUUCGGGUUGUAAAGUACUUUCAGCGGGGAGGAAGGCGAUAAGGUUAAUAACCUUGUCGAUUGACGUUACCCGCAUAGUAAGCACCGGCUAACUCCGUGCCAGCAGCCGCGGUAAUACGGAGGGUGCAAGCGUUAAUCGGAAUUACGGGGCGUAAAGCGCACGCAGGCGGUCUGUCAAGUCGGAUGUGAAAUCCCCGGGCUCAACCUGGGAACUGCAUUCGAAACUGGCAGGCUAGAGUCUUGUAGAGGGGGGUAGAAUUCCAGGUGUAGCGGUGAAAUGCGUAGAGAUCUGGAGGAAUACCGGUGGCGAAGGCGGCCCCCUGGACGAAGACUGACGCUCAGGUGCGAAAGCGUGGGGAGCA